rnacentral:rRNA from 1 species
UACGUAGGUGGCGAGCGUUAUCCGGAUUUACUGGGUGUAAAGGGCGCGCAGGCGGCCCUGGAAGUCAGAUGUGAAAGAUCAAGGCUUAACUUUGACAGGUCAUCUGAAACUUUGGGGCUUGAGUAUCAGAGGGGAAAGUGGAAUUCCUAGUGGAGCGGUAAAAUGCACAGAGAUUAGGAGGAACACCGGUGGCGAAGGCGACUUUCUGGCUGACAACUGACGCUGAGGCGCGAAAGCGUGGGGAGCAAACAGGAUUAGAUACC